AUGACCGGUUAGGCCAUCCCGGUA
rnacentral:siRNA from 1 species